rnacentral:lncRNA from 1 species
GGGUUAGGGUUAUGGUUAGGGUUAGGGUUGGAGCUAGGGUUAGGGUUAGGGUUAGGGUUGGAGUUAGGGUUAGUGUUGGAGCUAGGGUUAGGGUUGGGCUUGGAGCUAGGACUUUUCUGAGUGCAAUGAACCAACUCCCGAGUCUCUUGGACGUUCCCUAAAAAAAUUUGAUUUUUUCCCAUAGGAAUGCAUGGGUUAGGGUUAGGGUUAGGGUUGGAGCUAGGGUUAGGGUUAGGGUUAGGGUUGGAGUUAGGGUUAGUGUUGGAGCUAGGGUUAGGGUUGGGCUUGGAGCUAGGAUUUUCUGAGUGCACUGAACCAACUCCCGAGUCUCUAGGACAUUCCUAAAAAAAUUUGAUUUUUUCCCAUAGGAAUGCAUGGGUUAGGGUUAGGGUUAGGGUUGGAGCUAGGGUUAGGGUUAGGGUUAGGGUUGGAGUUAGGGUUAGUGUUGGAGCUAGGGUUAGGGUUGGGCUUGGAGCUAGGAUUUUUCUGAGUGCACUGAACCAACUCCCGAGUCUCUAGGACAUUCCUAAAAAAAUUUGAUUUUUUCCCAUAGGAAUGCAUGGGUUAGGGUUAGGGUUAGGGUUAGGGUUGGAGCUAGGGUUAGGGUUAGGGUUGGAGUUAGGGUUAGUGUUGGAGCUAGGGUUAGGGUUGGGCUUGGAGCUAGGAUUUUUCUGAGUGCAAUGAACCAACUCCCGAGUCUCUAGGACGUUCCUAAAAAAAUUUGAUUUUUUCCCAUAGGAAUGCAUGGGUUAGGGUUAGGGUCAGGGUUGGAGCUAGGGUUAGGGUUAGGGUUAAUGUUGGAGUUAGGGUUAGUGUUGGAGCUAGGGUUAGGGUUGGGCUUGGAGCUAGGAUUUUUCUGAGUGCACUGAACCAACUCCCGAGUCUCUAGGACGUUCCUAAAAAAAUUUGAUUUUUUCCCAUAGGAAUGCAUGGGUUAGGGUUAGGGUUAGGGUUGGAGGUAGGGUUAGGGUUAGGGUUAGGGUUGGAGUUAGGGUUAGUGUUGGAGCUAGGGUUAGGGUUGGGCUUGGAGCUAGGAUUUUUCUGAGUGCACUGAACCAACUCCCGAGUCUCUAGGACAUUCCUAAAAACAUUUGAUUUUUUCCCAUAGGAAUGCAUGGGUUAGGGUUAGGGUUAGGGUUGGAGCUAGGGUUAGGGUUAGGGUUAGGGUUGGAGUUAGGGUUAGUGUUGGAGCUAGGGUUAGGGUUGGGCUUGGAGCUAGGAUUUUUCUGAGUGCACUGAACCAACUCCCGAGUCUCUAGGACAUUCCUAAAAAAAUUUGAUUUUUUCCCAUAGGAAUGCAUGGGUUAGGGUUAUGGUUAGGGUUAGGGUUGGAGCUAGGGUUAGGGUUAGGGUUAGGGUUGGAGUUAGGGUUAGUGUUGGAGCUAGGGUUAGGGUUGGGCUUGGAGCUAGGACUUUUCUGAGUGCAAUGAACCAACUCCCGAGUCUCUUGGACGUUCCUAAAA